rnacentral:misc_RNA from 1 species
GGUCGUUCUUAUGUAGGGACAGCGAGAACAUAAAGAGGAAACUGAUUCCCUCCUCUCGCAAAAGCAUUCUGCAUCCGAGAGCACGAGCACCUUCACAUGUGCCGGAGAAGCCAAAAAGGCAUGCCCGGAACACGAGAGCUGCUGUAUGGUUCAUCCGACGCCCCUAAAGGGGCUUGGGACGAAUGUUCCUUAGCAACGAAAUUCCAUUCCUCUACGAGGGUAUGCAACACAGAAACCGUCCCCGCCCGAUAGAGCAAUACGCCUACGGGACACCACUGAGUGGCCUCGAGGUGAGACAGUUCGAUGCGCUAGCACAGAGCCUGCCAACCCCAACGGCC